CUUAGAUGUUCGGGGCCGCACGCGCGCUACACUGAAGGCAUCAGCGUGUUCUACCCUGGUCCGACAGGAUAAGGUAACCCGAUGAACCGCCUUCGUGCUAGGGAUUGGGGCUUGUAAUUAUUCCCCAUGAACGAGGAAUUCCCAGUAAGCGCAAGUCACUAGCUUGCGUUGAUUACGUCCCUGCCCUUUGUACACACCGCCCGUCGCUACUACCGAUUGAGUGGUUUAGUGAGGCCCUCGGACUGGUCUCGGCACGGCGUUCGCGUCGAGCCGGUGCGCCGGAAAGACGGUCAAACUUGCUCACUUAGAGGAAGUAAAAGUCGUAACAAGGUUUCCGUAGGUGAACCUGCGGAAGGAUCAU
rnacentral:rRNA from 1 species